GGCGGCCCGGGCGUCCGUUCCCGAUGUGGGUGUCUUUAACACACGGGCCGCUGUGGAAGGAGCAGUCAGGUUUAGAGGAUCCUCUGCGCUGCUCCGCACUGUCGAGGAAAAACAGAGAGAAGAGGAGGAUGAAGGUGAGGAAGAGUCUGAGGAGGAUGUAGACUAAAGCUUGGAAGAGCGACAGGAGAGUGGCGUUCUCUGUGAGCUGCGGGAACGGAAGGAGAGCUAUGGAUGAGGAAGGUUCUGCUGGUUCUACAGGAGAAGGACCGGGAGCUUUAGAAGCGGGUUGAAGAGCAUCAACCCUCUUUGCAGCUCCAGCUUGAGACCUGCUAGGUUUUCUAGGAGCGGGAUCUGCUGAAGGUUUGUCCAUGUGUGAUGGGGAUGAAGCCUGGUGUCUCCGUGUGAGUUCUGGUCCAGGUUUGGGCGUCUCUAGGGUUUUACGGGAAGGUGAGUGUGAAUCAGUGGAUGGAGGAUGCACAGGAUGGGAAGGAGAACACAGAGGAACCGCUACAUGCCGGUGGAACUCCACACCAUUCACAUCACGUCUCUCAGGAGGACACUGGGAUGACUCUCUAAGGGUUUCAGAUGUACACGCUAUGGUUUCCCACCUCUGCCAGAAGGGAUCAUAUUCCUCACUGUCAUUAAAGCUUCUCCGUGUCUCCUGUGCCUGCAAACCGUCGUUCACAAAGUUAGCAAAGAUCUGUGCUGCGAAAUUCAUCCUGGACUCAAGCUGACAUGAAAUACGAAGCUCAGCAGAUGCUCUCUUUAUCCAGCAGUAUUGUGCCCUUUCUCAGGCGUCCUCCACGACAUUAGUUUACUGCUCAGGGUUAUUUAAGCAGGGAUUAGCCAUAAUCACACGCUGGAGUCUCUCCAGCCCUUCCAGCCCUCCAGGACUCCACCUACAGCUCUAUUCCUGUCUCAGACCCGGGUUAAACCCGCCUCUCACGUGGUAUAAUCAGACUCUCUAAAGGGAUAGAUGAGGACUUAAUGCUUCCCAGAGAAUAAUGACCAUGGACCGUCGUCCAGCAGAAAGUGUCCUCCUUAAGACCUCAAGCUCUGACCUCUUGGACAGGCCAAAUCCUCCUCAGACCGGAUCACAGAUCACCUCUGACUUCACAGUCAUCAUUUAUGAUGCUCCAGACUCAAAUGACGAACAUGUGCAGACGAGAUUUACAGACGAGCACUAACCCCAGACAUCACACCUGACAGCUCCAAUACAUCACAACAAAACUAACAAGGGCUGAAGAAGAUCCCAAAGCAGGAUCAUUGUUGUCCAUCUCCGUCCCCCUGAUGACCAUUCCAGGAAUAAGAAAAGGAUAGAAGUCCAGCCAAGAGAGAAGUCAAUAUGGAGACUGAACCAAGAAAUGCUUUCCAGCAGAUUCGGCCCAUUGACAAAUAUCUGGUCUUGUAAGAUGUGCUCCUUUAGUGCGCCUGACUGCAAAACCGGAAUGUUAAUGUUGCUAGGGUGUAUAUGUGGUUUCUAUGGUGUUGCUAUGGUGUCCUGUGUGGUUGCUAAGGUGUUCCUUUUUUGUUGCUAAGUAUAGUUUUGCACAUUGUAUGUGGUGAACAUCUAAUAUAUGAACCUGAAGUACCUGCUAUGAUAAAAUGUAACAAGUUAAAAAUUAAGUAACACAUUUCACGGUUCUUUGAUGUUGGUUAAUGGU